GCCAGCAAGGGAAGACAGUCCAGAUCCAUGAGCUUAGGCAAUGAAACAGUGAAUGUGGAAUGAUAUAUGAAGUUGAAACUGAGUGUAUGUUGGCAGCAGAAGAUCUGAUUGAAUGAAGAGUGAUUUAGUAGCAGCGGAGGUGUCUGGAUAAUGGUUGAAGCUGGUGAUUGAAGUGCUUAUGGUGGUAGGGGUACUAGCUCAGAAAGCCCUCUCUAGGAAGGAAGCUAGAGGAGAAGGAAAAGAAGCACAAAGGAAUGUGACUCUCGGUGGAGAGAAGACGCUGGAAAAUGCUUCAGCGUAUCUAUUCUCUUAAAUAUCCAAAAGUGUUUGUACAUGGAGGGCUGCCAUGAAUUUAUAAGAGAUUCAUGGAUCAGCUGCGUGGCAUAGGUGCACCGAAAAUAGUGGAUCUAAGGCCACGUGCAAAUAAGCAAAUUUGGCAGUGUGUGUUUCUAGAACAGACACGUAAUACAUGUGCUAAAAAAAUGAAGUCUACAUGUGCUUUUAUGAUGCACCCCCUUUUAUUACUAAUCUCACACCCCUCCCUUUGUGGAAAUGAUUCUUCUACCCUUCUCUUUGGGUUGGGUUGUUGGACUUUAUUUGGUGGGCUUGUGCCCCGCGUAUCAGUAAGUGAUUCAUGAUUGUGAUUUUGAUGCUAAGCAGGAUUCAUGUGACAAGUAAGAAAGCAUGAUUAUGUGAGGUAUUGAGCUUUAGAGUUUUAUUGUUG
rnacentral:lncRNA from 1 species